AACUUUGCGCAGUGGCGAUAUCGUAACCAAUGAGGUACAACCGAGGUGCGAUUAUUGCUAGUUGAAAACUAAUUACACACUAAGAUUUUGUUUUCGUGUUCGGUAAAUUUUACCGAAAUCAGAACAGCUGAACGUUCGGUGAA